rnacentral:rRNA from 1 species
GACGUAGGGUGCAAGCGUUGUCCGGAAUUACUGGGCGUAAAGGGCGCGUAGGCGGCCUGUUAAGUGUAUAGUGAAAGCCUGGGGCUCAACCCCAGAACUGCUGUGCAUACUGGCAGGCUUGAGGGAUGCAGAGGCUUGUGGAAUUCCUGGUGUAGCGGUGAAAUGCGUUGAUAUCAGGAGGAACACCCAUGGCGAAGGCAGCAAGCUGGGCAUCAUCUGACGCUGAGGCGCGAAAGCGUGGGGAGCAAACAGG